rnacentral:rRNA from 1 species
CAGUCGCCGCGGUAAUACGAAGGGUGCAAGCGUUAAUCGGAAUUACUGGGCGUAAAGCGCGCGUAGGUGGUUUGGUAAGAUGGAUGUGAAAUCCCCGGGCUCAACCUGGGAACUGCAUCCAUAACUGCCUGACUAGAGUACGGUAGAGGGUGGUGGAAUUUCCUGUGUAGCGGUGAAAUGCGUAGAUAUAGGAAGGAACACCAGUGGCGAAGGCGACCACCUGGACUGAUACUGACACUGAGGUGCGAAAGCGUGGGGAGCAAACAGGAUUAGAUACCCCGGUAGUCCCUGUCUCUUAUAU